rnacentral:ribozyme from 1 species
GGCAGACCGGUUAAAGUCUGCCCUUGUUAAUGCAGCCCAAAAGGAAAAUGAAUUGAAAAAAUGAAUUUUCUUCUGGAUGGUCACAAGCCCAUAAAAAUGCAGAGUGGCA